rnacentral:rRNA from 1 species
UACGGGGGGGGCAAGCGUUGUUCGGAAUUACUGGGCGUAAAGGGUUCGUAGGCGGCCAACUAAGUCAGACGUGAAAUCCCUCGGCUUAACCGGGGAACUGCGUCUGAUACUGGAUGGCUUGAAUCCGGGAGAGGGAUGCGGAAUUCCAGGUGUAGCGGUGAAAUGCGUAGAUAUCUGGAGGAACACCGGUGGCGAAGGCGGCAUCCUGGACCGGCAUUGACGCUGAGGAGCGAAAGCCAGGGGAGCAAACGGG